GACAGAGGUGCCGAGCGUUAGGCGGAAUCACUGGGCUUAAAGCGUGUGUAGGCGGGCCGUUAAGUAUCUUGUGAAAUCCCCCGGCUCAACCGGGGAAUGGCUGGAUAUACUGGCGGUCUUGAGCAAUUCAGGGGCAGAUGGAACAGACGGUGGAGCGGUGAAAUGCGUAGAUAUCAGGAGGAACACCAAUGGCGAAGGCAGCUCGCUGGAACGGAACUGACGCUGAGGCGCGAAAGCGUGGGGAGCGAACAGG
rnacentral:rRNA from 1 species